GGCUGUGGCUCAGUGGUAGAGCGCUUGCCUAGCAUGCAUCAGGUACUGGGUUCGAUCCCUGGCACCA
rnacentral:tRNA from 1 species